rnacentral:lncRNA from 1 species
AUACUAAGAGAGUGAGAGCCUUCAGAUUUGGGUGAGUGAUGCCAUUAGAACCAAGAUUUCUUCCAUUCUUCUGCUCUAUCAUUCUCAGCACAACAUGCUUUUCUCAUUAAGAAUAUCUUGUGUGGAAGUGAGCAGCUUCACUCUUGAAUGGCAGAUACCCCAUCUAAAUACCAAGAAUCAUGCUACUUAUUCAAGGUUAUAAACAGAGGAAGGUCAUCAAGAGUGGAAGUGUCAUAUCCUGGAGGAAGAGGCAAGCUAGUUUCCUUGUCAUUGUAUUUGGACUCCUCAAAGUGAAACAUGGCCGCUGUGGUUCGUCUUCUGCCUGGGAACUGGAUAAAAACAUCAGUGAAUACCCCAAAGGGAUAUCCAGGGUACCAGGAAAAAAAAAAUACGUUCCUAGAGAUUUUCAAAAAUGCUUGUUGAUAAAAUGAAGUCAGAAUGUGAGAUGAGGUGAGUGUUUAUUAGCAUUGAGUAAAAGGCUUCAGAAGGCCUAAAGAAGGCUGUACUA